rnacentral:rRNA from 1 species
GAGUUUGAUCCUGGCUCAGGACGAACGCUGGCGGCGUGCCUAAUACAUGCAAGUAGAACGCUGAAGGAGGAGCUUGCUCUUCUGGAUGAGUUGCGAACGGGUGAGUAACGCGUAGGUAACCUGCCUGGUAGCGGGGGAUAACUAUUGGAAACGAUAGCUAAUACCGCAUAACAGUAGAUAUCGCAUGAUAGCUGCUUAAAAGGUGCAAUUGCACCACUACCAGAUGGACCUGCGUUGUAUUAGCUAGUUGGUGAGGUAACGGCUCACCAAGGCAACGAUACAUAGCCGACCUGAGAGGGUGAUCGGCCACACUGGGACUGAGACACGGCCCAGACUCCUACGGGAGGCAGCAGUAGGGAAUCUUCGGCAAUGGACGGAAGUCUGACCGAGCAACGCCGCGUGAGUGAAGAAGGUUUUCGGAUCGUAAAGCUCUGUUGUAAGAGAAGAACGAGUGUGAGAGUGGAAAGUUCACACUGUGACGGUAUCUUACCAGAAAGGGACGGCUAACUACGUGCCAGCAGCCGCGGUAAUACGUAGGUCCCGAGCGUUGUCCGGAUUUAUUGGGCGUAAAGCGAGCGCAGGCGGUUAGAUAAGUCUGAAGUUAAAGGCUGUGGCUUAACCAUAGUACGCUUUGGAAACUGUUUAACUUGAGUGCAAGAGGGGAGAGUGGAAUUCCCAUGUGUACGCGGUGCAACGUGCGUAGAUAUAUGGAGGAACACCGGUGGCGAAAGCGGCUCUCUGGCCUUGUACUGACGCUAGGCCGNAGAG